rnacentral:rRNA from 1 species
GACGAACGCUGGCGGCGUGCUUAACACAUGCAAGUCGAACGGUGAAGCGCCUUCCUUUUUGGUGGGUGUGGAUGAGUGGCGAACGGGUGAGUAACACGUGAGUAACCUGCCCCCUUCUUUUGGAUAACCGCAUGAAAGUGUGGCUAAUACGGGAUAUUCUGGGUCUGUCGCAUGAUGGGUCUGGGAAAGAUAUUGUUUCGGUGGGGGAUGGGCUCGCGGCCUAUCAGCUUGUUGGUGGGGUGAUGGCCUACCAAGGCGGUGACGGGUAGCCGGCCUGAGAGGGUGGACGGUCACAAUGGGACUGAGACACGGCCCAGACUCCUACGGGAGGCAGCAGUGGGGAAUAUUGCACAAUGGGCGCAAGCCUGAUGCAGCGACGCCGCGUGAGGGAUGGAGGCCUUCGGGUUGUGAACCUCUUUCGCCAGUGAAGCAGGCCUGCCUCGUUUGUGGGUGGGUUGACGGUAGCUGGAUAAGAAGCGCCGGCUAACUACGUG